rnacentral:tRNA from 2 species
GCCACCUUAGCUCAAUUGGUAGAGCACUUGAUUUGUAAUCAUGAGGUUGUCGGUUCGAUUCCGAUAGGUGGCU